GCCCCGCGCGCGGCGCGCACAGGGUGCACUUGGGCGCAGGCUGCAAGCGCCCGUCUCCGUGGCUCUUCCCUUAUCUACCCCCGGUACCCUGGGCCGUCUAGGGUAGCCGAUGACCUUGGAGCUGAUGAUGGCUGCGACCCGGGGGCGAGCGAGCAAGCCCACCGUAAAUGUUAUUUCCUUAUUCUGCAGGGACACCGACCCCAACAAAGAGCAGAGGCGCGCGGGCACCUCGUUUGCCCGAAGCUGUGGUGUGGCGGGUAUCGGUCUUCCUCUGGUUUCACUAGCCUUUUGAAGGCGCAGUUCAUUCUUCUGGAAAGUACAGCUGAAACCAGUCUUCCUCCCAACCCCAUUCCCUCUCUUCCCCGGGGGUCUUCGCUUUCGGAGUCUACAUCUGCCUGUGAUUCCAAGAGAGAUAAACUUCAGAUUGGCCAAGAUCCUGGGCUGUUUGCUGAUUGAGCAGAAAAUUAUUACGCAGCUCUGGAAGUUGAAGCAUGUAGCCACAUUCUCCAUGCAAUGCACCUCUCACUGGAAUUUCCACUUCUGCUUUUGGAAAGAUAUAGAGUAAAAGAGUGAGAUUUUGGGUAAGCAGUUAAUAUAAGCAAAAAGCUUGCUUAAUAAUUUAAAUAAAUCAAUGAACUA
rnacentral:lncRNA from 1 species